CGCGAAGAACCUUACCUGGUCUUGACAUCCACGGAAGUUUUCAGAGAUGAGAAUGUGCCUUCGGGAACCGUGAGACAGGUGCUGCAUGGCUGUCGUCAGCUCGUGUUGUGAAAUGUUGGGUUAAGUCCCGCAACGAGCGCAACCCUUAUCCUUUGUUGCCAGCGGUCCGGCCGGGAACUCAAAGGAGACUGCCAGUGAUAAACUGGAGGAAGGUGGGGAUGACGUCAAGUCAUCAUGGCCCUUACGACCAGGGCUACACACGUGCUACAAUGGCGCGUACAAAGAGAAGCGACCUCGCGAGAGCAAGCGGACCUCAUAAAGUGCGUCGUAGUCCGGAUUGGAGUCUGCAACUCGACUCCAUGAAGUCGGAAUCGCUAGUAAUCGUGGAUCAGAAUGCCACGGUGAAUACGUUCCCGGGUCUUGUACACACC
rnacentral:rRNA from 1 species